AGAGUUUGAUCCUGGCUCAGAUUGAACGCUGGCGGCAUGCCUUACACAUGCAAGUCGAACGGCAUCACGGGGGCAACCCUGGUGGCGAGUGGCGAACGGGUGAGUAAUACAUCGGAACGUGUCCUGUAGUGGGGGAUAGCCCGGCGAAAGCCGGAUUAAUACCGCAUACGAUCUACGGAAGAAAGCGGGGGAUCCUUCGGGACCUCGCGCUAUAGGGGCGGCCGAUGGCAGAUUAGCUAGUUGGUGGGGUAAAGGCCUACCAAGGCGACGAUCUGUAGCUGGUCUGAGAGGACGACCAGCCACACUGGGACUGAGACACGGCCCAGACUCCUACGGGAGGCAGCAGUGGGGAAUUUUGGACAAUGGGGGAAACCCUGAUCCAGCAAUGCCGCGUGUGUGAAGAAGGCCUUCGGGUUGUAAAGCACUUUUGUCCGGAAAGAAAACUUCUGCCCUAAUACGGCGGGAGGAUGACGGUACCCGGAAGAAUAAGCACCGGCUAACUACGUGCCAGCAGCCGCGGUAAAUACGUAGGGGUGCGAGCGUUAAUCGGAAAUUACUGGGCGUAAAGCGUGCGCAGGCGGUUCGUUAAGACAGAUGUGAAAUCCCCGGGCUUAACCUGGGAACUGCAUUUGUGACUGGCGAGCUAGAGUAUGGCAGAGGGGGGUAGAAUUCCACGUGUAGCAGUGAAAUGCGUAGAGAUGUGGAGGAAUACCGAUGGCGAAGGCAGCCCCCUGGGCCAAUACUGACGCUCAUGCACGAAAGCGUGGGGAGCAAACAGGAUUAGAUACCCUGGUAGUCCACGCCCUAAACGAUGUCAACUAGUUGUUGGGUCUUCAUUGACUUAGUAACGUAGCUAACGCGUGAAGUUGACCGCCUGGGGAGUACGGUCGCAAGAUUAAAACUCAAAGGAAUUGACGGGGACCCGCACAAGCGGUGGAUGAUGUGGAUUAAUUCGAUGCAACGCGAAAAACCUUACCUACCCUUGACAUGGUCGGAACCCUGCUGAAAGGUGGGGGUGCUCGAAAGAGAACCGAUACACAGGUGCUGCAUGGCUGUCGUCAGCUCGUG
rnacentral:rRNA from 1 species